UACGUAGGGAGCAAGCGUUGUCCGGAAUCAUUGGGCGUAAAGCGCGCGUAGGCGGCCCCGUAAGUCCGCUGUGAAAGUCAAAGGCUCAACCUUUGAAAGCCGGUGGAUACUGUGGGGCUAGAGUCCGGAAGAGGCGAGUGGAAUUCCUGGUGUAGCGGUGGAAUGCGCAGAUAUCAGGAGGAACACCAAUAGCGAAGGCAGCUCGCUGGGACGGUACUGACGCUAAGGCGCGAAAGCGUGGGGAGCGAACAGGA
rnacentral:rRNA from 1 species